AUUGAACGCUGGCGGCAGGCCUAACACAUGCAAGUCGAACGGUAACAGGAAGACGCUUGCUUCUUUGCUGACGAGUGGCGGACGGGUGAGUAAUGUCUGGGAAACUGCCUGAUGGAGGGGGAUAACUACUGGAAACGGUAGCUAAUACCGCAUAACGUCGCAAGACCAAAAAGGGGGACCUUCGGGCCUCUUGCCAUCGGAUGUGCCCAGAUGGGAUUAGCUAGUAGGUGGGGUAACGGCUCACCUAGGCGACGAUCCCUAGCUGGUCUGAGAGGAUGACCAGCCACACUGGAACUGAGACACGGUCCAGACUCCUACGGGAGGCAGCAGUGGGGAAUAUUGCACAAUGGGCGCAAGCCUGAUGCAGCCAUGCCGCGUGUAUGAAGAAGGCCUUCGGGUUGUAAAGUACUUUCAGCGGGAAGGAAGGGAGUAAAGUUAAUACCUUUGCUCAUUGACGUUACCCGCAGAAGAAGCACCGGCUAACUCCGUG
rnacentral:rRNA from 1 species